GACGAACGCUGGCGGCGUGCUUAACACAUGCAAGUCGAACGGUGAACCGCUUUCGGGUGGGGAUCAGUGGCGAACGGGUGAGUAACACGUGGGCAAUCUGCCCUGCACUCUGGGAUAAGCCCGGGAAACUGGGUCUAAUACCGGAUAAUACUUUCCGCCGCAUGGUGGGGGGUUGAAAGUUCCGGCGGUGCAGGAUGAGUCCGCGGCCUAUCAGCUUGUUGGUGGGGUAGUGGCCUACCAAGGCGACGACGGGUAGCCGGCCUGAGAGGGCGACCGGCCACAUUGGGACUGAGACACGGCCCAGACUCCUACGGGAGGCAGCAGUGGGGAAUAUUGCACAAUGGGGGAAACCCUGAUGCAGCGACGCCGCGUGAAGGAUGAAGGUCUUCGGAUCGUAAACUUUUGUCUUCAGGGACGAUAAUGACGGUACCUGAGGAGGAAGCCACGGCUAACUACGUG
rnacentral:rRNA from 1 species